rnacentral:lncRNA from 1 species
UUCGCUUUAUGGCGUGCUCGUUUGGGUUGGGCGUCGGCUAAGAGUGCUCGGAGCGUGGAUUAACUCCAGUCUCCAAUCAGGUGUGUAUUUAUCACUACUCUUGUUGUUGGAUGGCUACUUCGGGCCGCGAUGGGCCGAAAGGGGCCAUGUGGGCCCAAUGGGCCUACGGGCCCAAUUGGAUAAGUUGUUUGAUUGUGUAGUAAAUAUUGGACUAGGCUAGGUGAAUCGCAUAUCUGUGGCUAGGUUUGGGCUAAAAGGGCCACACGAGCGUGUGGGCCCAUUUGGGCCGAGAAUUGGCUUUAGGCCCAUUCGUAUUGUUAUCCAUGUUUAGAAUACUUUAGUUUACCAAUUACUGAAAUGCCCUCGACUUGUAAAAUUACCAAAGUACUCCCGAUUUACAGAAUUACUGUUUUACCCUCGAUUUACAGAAUUACCAUUUUACCCUCGAUUUUUAAAAUUACCGUUUUACCCUCGAUUUACAGAAUUAUCGUUUUACCCUCAGUUUACAGAAUUAUCGUUUUACCCUCGAUUUACAGAAUUACCGUUUUACCCUUGAUUUUUAAAAUUACCAUUUUACCCUCGAUUUACAGAAUUACCGUUUUACCCUCAGUUUACAGAAUUACCAUUUUACCAUCGAUUUACAAAAUUACCGUUUUACCCUCGAUUGUUAAAAUUACCAUUUUACCCUCGAUUUACAGAAUUACCGUUUUACCUUUAGUUUACAGAAUUACCGUUUUACCCUCGAUUUACAGAAUUACUGUUUUACCCUCAGUUUACAGAAUUACUAUUUUACCCUCGAUUUACAGAAUUAUCGUUUUACCCUCAAUUUACAGAAUUACUGUUUACCCUCGAUUUACAGAAUUACCGUUUUACCCUCGAUUUGUAAAAUUACCAUUUUACCCUUGAUUUACAGAAUUACUGGUUUACCCUCAGUUUACAAAAUUAUCGUUUUACCCUCGAUUUACAGAAUUACCGUUUUACCAUUGAUUGUGAAAUUACUGAAAUACCCUUGCAGUGUAGAAUUUCCGAAAUACCCCUAUAGGGUAGAAUUACUGAAAUACCCUUAUAGGAUAGAAUUACCAAAAUACCCCUGUAGGGUAGAAUUAUCGAAAUACCCUUGUAGGGUAGAAAUACCGAAAUACUCAUGUAGGGUAGAAUUACUGAGAUACCCUUGUGAGGUAAAAUUACCAUUUUCCCCUAGGGUGUUAAAUGACUGUUUUGCCCUUGUGGGCAAGUGACUGACUUGGACUGUGUGUUUGACGAAUUUGAUUGUGAAUAUAUGUUGGUGAUAUGAAUGACUUGACUGUAAUUGUUUGAUUCAAAUAUGGGCAUGACAUUCUGCAUACAUGACAUGUUGCAUGGGUUGGGAUUUUGUACGGAGGAAGCGUUCUGGUGGCUAUGCCACAAAUAUCUGUUCUGGUGGCUGUGCCACAAUAUCUGUAUCUGGUGACUUUGUCACGAUGUCUGUUCUGGCAGCCAUGCUGUAAAUUCUAUGGUGUGUAGCGGAUGGGUGGGUCGAGUUGUCUCCCCACAUGGUGUAAGGUUGGUACGGGGGUGUAUACGGCUGGAUUGGGUUGGGAUUGCAUUCACAUUCUGAUUCUGAUUCUGUCACGUAAUUCUGAUUCUGAUUCUGAUUCUGUUACUGAUUCUGAUUCUGAUUCUGUCACCUAAUUCUGAUUCUGAUUCUGUUACUAAUAUUGAUUCUGAUUCUGAUUCUGAUUCUGUUACUGAUUCUGAGUCUCAUUUUGGUUCCAAUUCUGAUAAUGUUUCUUAUUCUGUAAUGUGCUAAGGUCCAUCUCGUACUGUCUGUUGUAAUGGGCUAAGACCCGAUUGGUACUGAAAUUGUAAGUAAGGCUGGGGCCAGACUUUUAAUUCUUUUGGAUGACUGACUGUUCCUUUUUAUAGUAGGGGAUUUCACACCGAGUUUUCGUAAACUCACCCCGUUUAUUAACCUUUCAGGUAAUUUCCAGCCUUAGAUAGAUCGGGGUUUCUAGGGGCUCGGAGGAAGCCACACACACUGUUUAUGUUACAGUUUUGAUUAUUACCUUUAAAUUAUUUUAUGUGGGUUGUAGUAAAGCUGUUGUAAUUUUUUGGAUUUCAAAUUUGGAAUUUUAUUUAUUGUUUUUAAAGUAAGUUUCCGAAACUACCAAGAUUUUUACAAAGUUGUUAAGAAUGUUAUUCAGCUGAGGUUUUCUAACAAGGUUUAAAAAGGGUAUAAGUUUUUAAUUAUUAAGAAGGGUUUUUAAUGGAAACAUGGUUUUCGAAAAACACUUCAAUGUGACACGCCAAGUUCGAGCCAAACUUCCAGGCUGGGUUUGGGGUGUUACACCUAUGGAGAGCCAUCAUUCAAAUAUCUACAAUCAAUCCACUUUCCAAAAGAAACUGUUGGUGACUGGUGGAGGUUCAGCGACGACAUACACCUUCACCUAUCCAUCACAACUUGUGAAGGUAGUGAAAAUACCCAUAAAACAUAUCGACAAAUUGAAAAGAGAGAAGGCGUAUGGAGUGAAUGAGGAGAAAAAAAGAAAUAGAAGUUUGGUGGGGGGAGAAAAAUGCGGGUGGUAACUAGCUCAAAAACUAGCACCACUUGUUAGAAAAAUCUGGUUUAAAAAAAUAGUUUUCAGUCAUAAUGAAAAAUUAAAAUUUUGAAAAUGAAGUCGCUUUAUAAUAUUAUUAGCAAUAAAAUUUUCUCGAAAAGUACCUAUUUUUUGAGUGAGAUGAAUGUAUAUCGUUCUUGACUUUUAACCAAACUACAUUUUCCACUAUUCUUAUAACACCCUCGCUCGACUCGAUCUCCGGGUCCAAGCUACAGGAUGUCACAUCUAUUGUCGGAGAAACUACCGUCAAAUAAAUCAUUCAAGCAUUCAUUUACAUUGUAAACACUUUCAUAUUACUAUAUAUAAUCAAUUUCGAGCCCUAAUCGAACUUAUGAAAGCUUUUUUGUUGGCCCGAGCACAAAAUAUGACCAAAUUAAAAAGUUUCAGAACUUCGAAAACGACGUCAUGAUGCCAUCACUUCAACGUUGUGACAUUGCCAAAUAGUUUUUCAUGUCACAACAUCAAACCACUCGACGUUGUGACGUUACAUAUUAUCGGUCGGCAUUGCGACGAUGAAGUUUAAUCUUCGGGAGGAAGACUCUAUUGUUGGCAAAAUUUGAGCCAUUUGAUACCUAUUUCGAGCUUUGUCCCAAACUUACCUAUUUUGUGCACAAAUACACAACUUUACCUACACCAAAACAUCCCAAACACAUACUAAAACAAUCCAUUUGACCAUUUCAAUUCAAUCAACCCAAUAUAACCUCAAUUUAUUACUGAAAUACUUGUCCCUUAAGACUGUGGAUCAUUAUCGCUUGCAACUAUAGAACUUCUCCGGUGACAUCUUUGGCUACCGUGCUCAUAACCCCUAGCCCUCCCUCUUAACGCUGGUACUAUCUCGAACAUGCUAAUAUAGAAGUAAGAAGUAGGUGAAGAGGAAUGAAGGAUUUUCUAGAAGUAGGGAAAUGUUUACAAAGGAAUAAUAACUUCGAUGAUGGAAUCGGGUGAAGAAGAAAAAAAUGGGAGAAAUAAGACUUAGGGUUAAAAAAAAACUUAAUCGACAAGGAAUUUAGGGAAAAAUUGAUUUAUGAUGAAAGGAUUUCUUUUCCUUUAUGUCUCAAUUUAAAUAACCAAGCGUCCAGGAGAAGCUUGGGUUUCAAAAUGAAAUAAAUUGUUCAGGUCUUCAAAUAUGCAACUUACACCUGUUGAUCCAAGGAAGGGUUUUUCUUAAACCCUUGGGUAUGUAGAAAGAGCGAGAAAGUCUACUAGUGCAAGUUGUCGAUCAAGUAUUCGCUAAUUAGCCUUUGUUAAUAAAAAGUUCACCAAGCAAUGUCAUGUUGGAUGACUCCCCAAUUCAAAGCUUAAGUCGGGGUAUUUCUGCCAGAAUAACCGUAAUCUAGGCAGAAUAUAAGCCUUUGGCUUCAAGUUGAGUAUGGACGAAUCCACCAUUUGAGCAGAGUAGGAUUGGGAGAGUCUACAUAAUCAAGGAUAGAACGAGAAUAUAGUAGGAAAUAAAAAUUUCUUUUAGUCUGCUUUUAGAUUUUUGUCAUGAGAAGAAAUUUUAAAGACAAAAUUUUAUUUUAGGGUGGGUGAGUUGUUACACCCGAUUUUCGAUAAGUCUAAAUUUUGGGAGGGCUUGGGCGUUAAUUGAAUAAAAUAGUAAAUCGAUGGGCUCUACUAGAAAACUUAAAAAUUUUUGUGGCUAAUUAGUAAUUAAUUGAGUUUCAAUUUUGGCUCAAUUAGGAUAGAAUCGACUGGUUCCUUAGUGGGAGACAAAAUGAUUGUCGACCGAUGGCUUAAUAGGGGCUUUGGUGAUUAUGCAAGAAGGGUUAUCUAUUUAGGUUAGAAGCCUUAAUCAGCAGAGGAAAAUUCUUUUCAAUUUUCAUUUAUAUUAUAUUCUCAUCUGCAUCGUCUUCUUUGAUUGCUCCAAAGAACAGAAAGUUAAAAGAAAGCUUUGCAUGGGUUGGUAAAUAUGGGACCCGAGUAGAAAAAAUAGAGGAUCCAGUAAGUUGGUAAGCUUCUAAGUUUCUUUGUACAUGUGAGUUAGAGCAAAAGAGAAGUAAGGAUUCCUGAAAAGCGUCUGUAUAAUAAUGGAUUCGAGAUUUUAAGGUUUGAACACCUUUCGUUUAACCGAUAUAUAUAGGUGCCAUGUGUAGCUAUUAGGAUGAAGGAGGCUCUGGCAUUUGACAAGCUAAGCUAGCAAGGACGAAGGAUUUAAGGUGAGUUUCUACACUCUAUUUUGGUUGUUUGCUACUUGAAUAUUCCAUUAGAAUGUCUGUUCUGAGUUCAGCUUAAAUUCCAUGGUUAUGUAUAAAUAUGGUGAUUGAGUAUGUUGCGCAUGCAUAGCAUUGUAUAAAUAUGUAAACGGUUGUAAGAAUAUUCUCUGGUUGUCAAACGGUUUGAAUUGAUGUAUUGAUAAGUGCCAUGUUACAUGUUAUAGUAAUGAGUAUAAUGUAUUGCAUAAUUUGUAUGAUUAUAAAAUGUGGAGUAUGGAGAGAGUCAUUUUAAUGGGUUAGCGAAGAUAGGAAUUUGACGGAAUGAAGGAAUGGGCGGAUUGAUAGGGGAUACGAGGGAGUUCGGUGGCAUCGUGGAAUGGAUAACUACUGGUCCUUUAGGGCAACAUCGUGUUGAUAGUUAUCUAUUGGUCCUUCAAGGCAACACCUCGAAAGGGAUUUAUUGAUUCUCUAGAAUAAAAAAUCCAUUGUUAGCCAUAGCAUGAUCCAGUGGUGAACAGGUAACACUAUGGCGAAAUGGAGUUCGCCAGGACAGUGAACCAGGAAGCUUGUGAGGGUAUAAAAAGGGGAAGUCAUUGUAUGACUCACACAUCAAGGAACCUGACAUGAUGAUCAUGGUGCGAUUGCAAGCGCAGGCAAGUGUGCUAACAACAGGACCUGCCAAAUUAUGAAGUUAGGAAGAACUGUUAGAAGCGACUUGAAUGCGAUCAUAACUGAAAAGAAUGGGGUAUUUCCUCUAAGGUAUUGGCAAAUAGGUAUCCUCCAUUAGGAGUCCACUAGAGUUACAAGGUAAACCAGCAUGGGCUAUGAUAAAGUGAGACGAUUAUGCAUAUUGUAAGUCCUAAGUACUCAUGGGUAAAAAGGUCGCCAGAAAUAAAAGGAUAAUUUUUCGCGAAAUGUUAGAGGAAGCGGAUGUCUGUCAAGGUCAUAUAGAACGGGGAAGUCCACUUGAGAUUAUCAAAUAUGGAAAUUGACCAAUGGAAAUCUAGAAAGGAGACAAUCAACUAGAAACUACAUAUUAAUGAGAGUAUCUUAGUAAGAAUGGUCUGACAUAGGAAAUCCUAUGAGACUAACUUACAAUUACGAUACCACUAGGAAAAGGGUACUAAUAUAUCACUCAAAAUUCAAAUUUUAAGCCACAAUUGGAGGUAUAAUUAAGCAAGACUAUCUUAAAAAGAAGGGUUUAUGCACAGGCUAAGUCACAAUAAGAGAAUUAUUGAGGUGAUACAGAAAGCCUAUAUUAAAUUCAAUGUGGAAUAAAGAGGUUAGGGUAUAAAUUUGUAAUUGUGGCGAGAUAUCAACUAAUCCGCCAAUGGUAUUUGCCAAUCUAUAAAAAAAUUGUGUAUAUAAUUAUUGUUGAUGAGUCAAAAAGAAAAAGGAAAAAAAUGAAGUCUGAAAUUAAGUGAUCAGGGUCAAGUCCUAGAAGAAAGUGUUAUUUAGCAGAUCACACUUAUGACUAAGUCAAUGGAUACGUCUACCAAUGGUUAGCUUAAUGAACACAAGAGGACAGUAGUAAGAGUAAAACAACAAGUGAUUCAACCUAAGUGCCUGCCAAUUUUCCUUUGAGAAGAACGUAUGGCGCUGUUGUUGCCAAAUAAACUACAGAACCUCCUAAAAUAAAUAGGGAGAUAAAAAAUUAUGCGUAUCAAUCAUUUAUUUAUUUAACUUCAAGUCAUUUGCAAACACUAUAGUAUAGACUCUCACUAAGUUCAUGUGAAUUUACAUGUGUUUUACCUUGAAUGUAGGGUCAAGGAGUGACUUGAGGAUCGUGUGGAGGGAUCAAGCCAUACACUUCCAAGUCAUAUGCGAAUGGUGUCAUGACUAUAUCAUGCAUAUAGAGGGGCACCCUUAGAGGCUACACCUCGGGGGAUUAGUUAAGUGUAUUGUUUUGAUUUUAGUUUAAAGUUAUAGUAUGUGCAUACGUACAAGCUUAGCAGGACUAAGUGAUCGUAAAACUUUAGUACUUAUAUAAAAGGGAAUUUAUUUAAAAUAAAUUUUUGAAUCAUGUUGUUUAAUCAGGGAAUUCUGUUUGAUAAAUAUGAGUUUACAAUUUG